ACUAUCGUUAACUGAAUACAUAGGUUAACGAGGCGAACCGGGGGAACUGAAACAUCUAAGUACCCCGAGGAAAAGAAAUCAACCGAGAUUCCCCCAGUAGCGGCGAGCGAACGGGGAGCAGCCCAGAGUCUGAAUCAGCUUGUGUGUUAGUGGAACGGUCUGGAAAGUCCGACGGUACAGGGUGAUAGUCCCGUACACCAAAAUGCACAGGCUGUGAACUCGAAGAGUAGGGCGGGACACGUGGUAUCCUGUCUGAAUAUGGGGGGACCAUCCUCCAAGGCUAAAUACUCCUGACUGACCGAUAGUGAACCAGUACCGUGAGGGAAAGGCGAAAAGAACCCCGGCGAGGGGAGUGAAAAAGAACCUGAAACCGUGUACGUACAAGCAGUGGGAGCACCUUCGGGUGUGACUGCGUACCUUUUGUAUAAUGGGUCAGCGACUUAUAUUCUGUAGCAAGGUUAACCGUAUAGGGGAGCCGCAGGGAAACCGAGUCUUAACUGGGCGUUAAGUUGCAGGGUAUAGACCCGAAACCCGGUGAUCUAGCCAUGGGCAGGUUGAAGGUUGGGUAACACUAACUGGAGGACCGAACCGACUAAUGUUGAAAAAUUAGCGGAUGACUUGUGGCUGGGGGUGAAAGGCCAAUCAAACCGGGAGAUAGCUGGUUCUCCCCGAAAGCUAUUUAGGUAGCGCCUCGUGAAUUCAUCUUCGGGGGUAGAGCACUGUUUCGGCUAGGGGGUCAUCCCGACUUACCAACCCGAUGCAAACUACGAAUACCGAAGAAUGUUAUCACGGGAGACACACGGCGGGUGCUAACGUCCGUCGUGAAGAGGGAAACAACCCAGACCGCCAGCUAAGGUCCCAAAGUCAUGGUUAAGUGGGAAACGAUGUGGGAAGGCACAGACAGCCAGGAUGUUGGCUUAGAAGCAGCCAUCAUUUAAAGAAAGCGUAAUAGCUCACUGGUCGAGUCGGCCUGCGCGGAAGAUGUAACGGGGCUAAACCAUGCACCGAAGCUGCGGCAGCGACACUAUGUGUUGUUGGGUAGGGGAGCGUUCUGUAAGCCUGCGAAGGUGUGCUGUGAGGCAUGCUGGAGGUAUCAGAAGUGCGAAUGCUGACAUAAGUAACGAUAAAGCGGGUGAAAAGCCCGCUCGCCGGAAGACCAAGGGUUCCUGUCCAACGUUAAUCGGGGCAGGGUGAGUCGACCCCUAAGGCGAGGCCGAAAGGCGUAGUCGAUGGGAAACAGGUUAAUAUUCCUGUACUUGGUGUUACUGCGAAGGGGGGACGGAGAAGGCUAUGUUAGCCGGGCGACGGUUGUCCCGGUUUAAGCAUGUAGGCUGAUUGUCCAGGCAAAUCCGGAUAAUCAAGGCUGAGGUGUGAUGACGAGGCACUACGGUGCUGAAGUAACAAAUGCCCUGCUUCCAGGAAAAGCCUCUAAGCAUCAGGUAACAUCAAAUCGUACCCCAAACCGACACAGGUGGUCAGGUAGAGAAUACCAAGGCGCUUGAGAGAACUCGGGUGAAGGAACUAGGCAAAAUGGUGCCGUAACUUCGGGAGAAGGCACGCUGGUGUGUAGGUGAAGUCCCUGCGGAUGGAGCUGAGACCAGUCGAAGAUACCAGCUGGCUGCAACUGUUUAUUAAAAACACAGCACUGUGCAAACACGAAAGUGGACGUAUACGGUGUGACGCCUGCCCGGUGCCGGAAGGUUAAUUGAUGGGGUUAUCCGUAAGGAGAAGCUCUUGAUCGAAGCCCCGGUAAACGGCGGCCGUAACUAUAACGGUCCUAAGGUAGCGAAAUUCCUUGUCGGGUAAGUUCCGACCUGCACGAAUGGCGUAAUGAUGGCCAGGCUGUCUCCACCCGAGACUCAGUGAAAUUGAACUCGCUGUGAAGAUGCAGUGUACCCGCGGCAAGACGGAAAGACCCCGUGAACCUUUACUAUAGCUUGACACUGAACAUUGAGCCUUGAUGUGUAGGAUAGGUGGGAGGCUUUGAAGCGUGGACGCCAGUCUGCGUGGAGCCAACCUUGAAAUACCACCCUUUAAUGUUUGAUGUUCUAACGUUGGCCCCUUACCGGGGUUGCGGACAGUGUCUGGUGGGUAGUUUGACUGGGGCGGUCUCCUCCCAAAGCGUAACGGAGGAGCACGAAGGUUAGCUAAUCCUGGUCGGACAUCAGGAGGUUAGUGCAAUGGCAUAAGCUAGCUUGACUGCGAGCGUGACGGCGCGAGCAGGUGCGAAAGCAGGUCAUAGUGAUCCGGUGGUUCUGAAUGGAAGGGCCAUCGCUCAACGGAUAAAAGGUACUCCGGGGAUAACAGGCUGAUACCGCCCAAGAGUUCAUAUCGACGGCGGUGUUUGGCACCUCGAUGUCGGCUCAUCACAUCCUGGGGCUGAAGUAGGUCCCAAGGGUAUGGCUGUUCGCCAUUUAAAGUGGUACGCGAGCUGGGUUUAGAACGUCGUGAGACAGUUCGGUCCCUAUCUGCCGUGGGCGCUGGAGAAUUGAGGGGGGCUGCUCCUAGUACGAGAGGACCGGAGUGGACGCAUCACUGGUGUUCGGGUUGUCAUGCCAAUGGCACUGCCCGGUAGCUAAAUGCGGAAGAGAUAAGUGCUGAAAGCAUCUAAGCACGAAACUUGCCCCGAGAUGAGUUCU
rnacentral:rRNA from 1 species